rnacentral:tRNA from 3 species
GGCACUAUGGCCGAGUGGUUAAGGCGAGAGACUCGAACUUUUCUUGAGAGAUCUCUUGGGCUAUGCCCGCGUCGGUUCAAAUCCGGCUGGUGUCG